AAGAGGUGCUGAAGAAGUGUGCACAGGAGUACCUGUCCCGAGUGAAGAAGGAGGAGCAGAGGUACCAGGCUCUGAAGGUGCACGCAGAGGAGAAACUGGACAGGGCCAACGCCGAGAUCGCCCAGGUUCGAGGCAAGGCCCAGCAGGAGCAAGCUGCCUACCAGGCCAGCUUGCGGAAGGAGCAGCUGCGAGUGGACGCUCUGGAAAGAACGCUGGAGCAGAAG